rnacentral:ncRNA from 2 species
GCCCUCGCUCCGGGGUGCGCUUUGCGCUGAGAUGGUCCACACGACCGAACCCGCGAACUUGAACCGGCUAGUACCGGCGUAAGAAGAGCUGCAGUUCUCCAC